rnacentral:rRNA from 1 species
UACGAAGGGGGCUAGCGUUGCUCGGAAUCACUGGGCGUAAAGCGCACGUAGGCGGAUUGCUAAGUCAGGGGUGAAAUCCUGGAGCUCAACUCCAGAACUGCCUUUGAUACUGGCGAUCUUGAGUCCGGGAGAGGUGAGUGGAACUGCGAGUGUAGAGGUGAAAUUCGUAGAUAUUCGCAAGAACACCAGUGGCGAAGGCGGCUCACUGGCCCGGUACUGACGCUGAGGUGCGAAAGCGUGGGGAGCGAUCCGG